rnacentral:rRNA from 1 species
CCAUAUGGUCGACCUGCAGGCGGCCGCGAAUUCACUAGUGAUUCGUAUUACCGCGGCUGCUGGCACAGAGUUAGCCGGUGCUUAUUCUGUCGGUAACGUCAAAACAGAUACGUAUUAGGUAACUGCCCUUCCUCCCAACUUAAAGUGCUUUACAAUCCGAAGACCUUCUUCACACACGCGGCAUGGCUGGAUCAGGCUUUCGCCCAUUGUCCAAUAUUCCCCACUGCUGCCUCCCGUAGGAGUCUGGACCGUGUCUCAGUUCCAGUGUGACUGAUCAUCCUCUCAGACCAGUUACGGAUCGUCGCCUUGGUGAGCCAUUACCUCACCAACUAGCUAAUCCGACCUAGGCUCAUCUGAUAGCGCAAGGCCCGAAGGUCCCCUGCUUUCUCCCGUAGGACGUAUGCGGUAUUAGCGUCCGUUUCCGAGCGUUAUCCCCCACUACCAGGCAGAUUCCUAGGCAUUACUCACCCGUCCGCCGCUCUCAAGAGAAGCAAGCUUCUCUCUACCGCUCGACUUGCAUGUGUUAGGCCUGCCGCCAGCGUUCAAUCUGAGCCAUGAUCAAACUCUAAUCGAAUUCCCGCGGCCG